rnacentral:rRNA from 1 species
ACGGCUCAGUAACACGUAGCUAACCUAACCUAUAGUCAUGGAUAACCUCGGGAAACUGAGGGUAAACCGUGAUAGGAGAUGUGCUCUGGAAGGACAUUUCUCCCAAACUCGUGCUGUAGGAUGGGGCUGCGGCUGAUUAGGCCGUUGGCGGGGUAAAUGCCCACCAAACCAAAAAUCAGUACGGGCUCUUAGCGGAGACGCCCGGAGAAGGACUCUGAGACACUAGUCCUAGCUCUACGGAGUGCAGCAGUCAAGUAUUUUCUGCAAUGCGCGCAAGCGUGACAGAGCGAGCCAGAGUGCUUUUCUUUUAGAAAAGCUUUUGUUUGCUGUAAAAAGGCAGACGAAUAAGGACUGGGCAAGACUGGUGCCAGCCGCCGCGGUAAUCCCAGCGGUCCAAGUUGCAGCCACAAUUAUUGGGUCUAAAACAUCCGUAGCUUGUUUUGUAAGUGCUUUGUGAAAUCAUGCAUCUAAAGUGUAUGGCUGGCAAGGCAUACUGCGAAACUGGAGACCGGAAGACGUAUGGAGUACGGCUAAAGUAGUGGUAAAAUAUGCUGAUCUUGGUCGGACUAACAAGAGCGAAGGCACCAUACGAAGACGGAUCUGACAGUGAGGGAUGAAGGCUAGGGGCGCAAAAUGGAUUAGAUACCCAUGUAGUCCUAGCAGUAAACACUGCACACUAAACAUUAGUACCUCCUCGAGAGGUAUUGGUGCUGUAGCGAAGCGUAGAGUGUGCUACCUGGGAAGUAUAGUCGCAAGGCCGAAACUUAAAGGAAUUGGCGGGGGAG